AGAGAUGACAAAGACAAAGAAGAAGAACCAAACCCAAAAAGCCUUUUUUCUCCAUUCUUUCUAUUCUGGUCUUAAAUCUUUUCUAAAUCUGUUUUGUAUUCAAUUUUAUAGGGAAAACGCAAGAAAGAUUUGUCGAGAAGAGCAUCCCGAGAUCAACAUCUCAACUCUUACCAACGACAUUUCAUUGAAAUGGAAAGUAAAUAAACACUAUUUUAUUCAUUGUUACUUGUGAAAUUGAAUUCCUGGUUUUGAGAAAAAUCUUAUGGAUUUGGUUGUUUUGGGAACAAUCUAAUUGUAGGAACUGGGUGAGAAGUGAGCCCAAUUUAUAUUGGAAGGGCUGCAAGUUAGUGAAACAAUAAGCCAAGACAGAACAGAGAAGAUUUUGGGACGAUUCAGGUACACUAAUACACUCCCUUCUAUUUAUUUUUAUUUAUCAUAGAUGGGCUAACUGUAGCAAUGUAGCGUAGACGUCUAUAGAAACACCAAUUUCUUUACUAAAUCCAAUGAUGCAUGUGAGGCAGUGAAGGACAAUACAUGUGACAGUUCUCUUGCCUCAAACCUUAAACAUCUAACAGAGAGAGCAUGCCCUCCCUGAAGAUGAUGGAAAUAAAUAUACCCAAACAGUUAUUAGAAGCAAAUAAAAAGCAGGAGUAUAUGAUCCUUAGGGCAUUUGAGUGAAAGCAACCUCUCUUCUAAGAAAGUUAAGACCUCUCUUCUAAGCCUUAAGUUAUAUAUCAAGUCCGAUUUCUUUGUGAAAUUAAAAGAAGCCUUUUUUUCAAUUUUGUGUUGGAAUGGAUCUUCUUCUUCUAUGUAGAACGAUCUGGAACUCUUUGUUGAGGAGCAACACACUUAAUGUGGAGAAUAUGAAGAUCAAGAGAGAAUACAUGAUUUAUUGAGCUUGGAGGAACUCGAAAAGCUUAAGGUGGAGCAAAAAAUACUGCUAAUGAGGAAGGAAUUCCAGCCUAACAUCGUACAAUUUCUAGAAUUUGCCCUGGUUCUCCACUUAUUUAAGGCUUAUUGAAAUCUAGUUAAUCAUAUGCGUUAUGGUCUUAUGGAGUUUGUUGGCUUGCUUUGAACUAAUAAGCGUCGGCUUAGCUUUCUGCACAUUUCAUGCUGCCAAGGUUCAAGGUUCUCACCAAGAAUGAAGACUGAGUAAGUUUAUUUACAAUGUAUGGGAAUUCUCAACGUAAGUUUGUUAACUCUAGGAACUAUGAUCCAUAAGCUAACGUAAGCACUAACAUAGGGUUUACACUUGUUACCAGAUCCCCAACAUGAGUGCUCAAAUUUACAUCUUUACGACAAAGAGGAGGAACUUGAGAUGCUUAAGGUGGAGCACAAAAAACUACAAUAAAUGGAGUAAUUCAAGCCGAACAUGGUAUAGUUUCUAAAUCUAUCUCUGGUUCUCCACUUAAUUUACAGUAUAUGUUAUGUGGAAAUGAUUCAUAAUUAUUUUUAGAAUUUGGCUAGUCAUAUGUGACUAAGAUUUAGGGAGCUUGUUGAUGGUAGGCUCGCUUUAAACUAAUUGUUUGAUGGAAGUUUCUGCUUAGAUUUGAGACUAGCUCCAUCCACUCUUGGUCGUUUUCUUUCUACUAUGUGUUUUAUCUUUCGCGAAGUCAUUAGGAACAUCAAUUGGUGCGGACAGAAACGAUGAUUCUGACUUUGGUACCUUUUUCCUAAAAUCAUCAUGCUAGGCUUGUGACUAUAGCAGGUAUGAGGUUGCGAAGAUGGCAAUGGAGUGAACCAAUGAAAAGUUCAACAAUAUUUUCUAACUUGUGUGCAGAUUCUUGAACUUUUUAAUAGGGGGAAAAUAGGAACAAGAGAUCUACAUGAAAUGGAAUGAUGAAAAUAACAAAUCAAAUACAAAGAAUACACGUUUUGAGCUAAGUCAGUCACUAACAAUAACACAUGUUUCUUGCAGAUAAGAAAGAGACGAUAAAGACAAAGAAGAAGGACGAGAAUCUUGACCGUAACAAACCCGAAAAGCUUUGUUUCUUCAUUCAUUAUAUUCUGGUACUUCAAUAUUUGAAUACUCAAAUAUUUUCUAACUAUCUGUUUUGUAUACAGUUUGAUUGCAAAAAGUUGAACAAAGAGUUUGUCGAGAAGAGCAUCAAGGGAUCAAAAAGUCAACUCUUACCGCCCAUAUCUCAUUGGAAUGAAAAGUAAUAAAAUAAAAUUUUAUUCAUUGUUACUUGUGGAAUUGAUUUGUCGGUUUUGAAGAAAUUCUUGUUGUAGGAAUUGCGAGUUAAUGGAAGCGUGCAUGAAAGAAGUGGAAGCUUUAUUAAAUUGUAGCUGACUACAUUUCAGUGAACAACUAAUAUGAUCUGAAUUCAUUCUCGUUUGAUA
rnacentral:lncRNA from 1 species